GACAGAGGGUGCGAACGUUGUUCGGAAUUACUGGGCGUAAAGCGCGUGUAGGCUGUUCGGAAAGUCGGGUGUGAAAGCCCUGGGCUCAACCUAGGAAGUGCACUCGAAACUCCCGAACUGGAGUCCCGGAGAGGAAGGCGGAAUUCUCGGUGUAGAGGUGAAAUUCGUAGAUAUCGAGAGGAACAUCGGUGGCGAAGGCGGCCUUCUGGACGGUGACUGACGCUGAGACGCGAAAGCGCGGGGAGCAAACAGG
rnacentral:rRNA from 1 species